rnacentral:rRNA from 1 species
UAGGUUAACGAGGCGAACCGGGGGAACUGAAACAUCUAAGUACCCCGAGGAAAAGAAAUCAACCGAGAUUCCCCCAGUAGCGGCGAGCGAACGGGGAGCAGCCCAGAGUCUGAAUCAGCUUGUGUGUUAGUGGAAGCGUCUGGAAAGUCGCACGGUACAGGGUGACAGUCCCGUACACGAAAGCACACAGGUUGUGAACUCGAAGAGUAGGGCGGGACACGUGGUAUCCUGUCUGAAUAUGGGGGGACCAUCCUCCAAGGCUAAAUACUCCUGACUGACCGAUAGUGAACCAGUACCGUGAGGGAAAGGCGAAAAGAACCCCGGCGAGGGGAGUGAAAAAGAACCUGAAACCGUGUACGUACAAGCAGUGGGAGCACCUU